rnacentral:rRNA from 1 species
UACGUAGGUGGCAAGCGUUAUCCGGAUUUACUGGGUGUAAAGGGCGUGUAGGCGGGACUGCAAGUCAGAUGUGAAAUUCCAGGGCUCAACCCUGGACCUGCAUUUGAAACUGUGGUUCUUGAGUGAUGGAGAGGCAGGCGGAAUUCCGAGUGUAGCGGUGAAAUGCGUAGAUAUUCGGAGGAACACCAGUGGCGAAGGCGGCCUGCUGGACAUUAACUGACGCUGAGGCGCGAAAGCGUGGGGAGCAAACAGG